GAUGAAGAACGUAGUGAAAUGCGAUAAGUAGUGUGAAUUGUAGAAUUCAGUGAAUCAUCGAAUCUUUGAACGCACAUUGCGCCCCUUGGUAUCCCGAGGGGCAUGCCUGUUCGAGCGUCAUUUCACCACUCAAGCCUGGCUUGGUGUUGGGCGACGUCCCCUUUGGGGACGCGCCUCGAAACGCUCGGCGGCGUGGCACCGGCUUUAAGCGUAGCAGAAUCUUUCGCUUUGGAAGUCGGGGCCCCGUCUGCCGGAAGACCUACUCGCAAGGUUGACCUCGGAUCAGGCAGGGAUACCCGCUGAACUUAAGCAUAUCAAUAAGCGGAGGA
rnacentral:misc_RNA from 1 species